rnacentral:rRNA from 1 species
AACUAGAGGCAUAACCCUGAACAAAUCUGAUUCCAUCUGAUCUCAGAAGCUAAGCAGGGUCAGGCCUUGUUAGUACUUGGAUGGGAGACCACCUAGAAAGACCAGGUGCUGUAGGCA